rnacentral:snRNA from 1 species
GGAUGUGAGGGCAUCCUGGCUGUGACAUGUAAUCCAUUGAUUUUUGAGGGUAGAUUUGGCUGAUUUUGCUAGUGAGGCUGGUGUCCCUCCCCUUCCCCCCUCACCACUCUAUGUGCAUUCCUCCUGACACUGCACACUCUUUCCUUGAUGGAUAGAGACAAUUCUUUCAUCAAGGGCAUAUCAGUAAUUGUGUUCCAAAGGAGAGUGUAAGGUCCAUAUUUGGGGGGCUUCCUCAUUAU